UAGGCUACAGGCGUGAAAAAAUUACUUCUUACUAAAUUAUGAACUCGUUGAAUGAGCGUAAUUUGCCCAGCAAGAACGACGUUUUCAAUGAUCCGGAUUUAUUUACGAAAAAAAAAAAAAUUAAUUUGCUGGAGACGAGUUUUAUGCGAAUUCCGCCAGAUGUCGUCGCGUAUGUCACAAAAAAUUGUUUCUCCUUCCCCCUCACGCUAUCAAAACAAUGUAAAAAAUGGUGUUUUCUGUAUCUUGAUUAUUUUAUUUCGAAUUCAUUUGCAUAUAAAUUCCCAAAUAUUGUUUCGGUGUGCGGUAAUUACUACAUUAAACGCGAUGUUAUUAUAUGUUGUUCCUACAUAACACGAAUGUGUAAUGUUAUCCGAAGAACGAAGACUUUUUUUACACACGUACGACUGAAUGAACACAUCUCAUCGUAUGCCUUCGGUAUCUUCGCUGUCCAGAGACUUGAACGAUGAAAGAUUCUAUCUUUUUAUUGAACAUCUUGCAAUCAGGAUUUCAUAAAGAAUUGUUCGAAAUGCAUCCCAACUUAACGUAGAUAUGGCUCAUGCUGAUUCAUUCGAGAUGAUUUUCACGAUGAUGUUUCCAAUCGAAGUGAUCUUGUCAAUUUUGAUUUUUGGUAAGUUGAAAAAAUACAUAUUUUUUGGGUCAUGCUCAAGUAUCUUGAUUUAUGAAAUAUGCCAGUAUUUUGAAAUCAAGAUUCUAUUUUUGAAGACACCAAUUUUUGAUUUUUUUAAUCAAUUUUAAGGACCCUCUUCACCAUUUAAGAGUGAUCUUAUUACACCAAACUCUUCAUUUUGAAUCCACGACGACGUCUUCUUUUCUUUUUUUUAGUCAUUGUGGAACAUUUUUUGAAAAUUUUUCCUACGUUUAAGACUCAAGUUAUUUUUGUACAAUAACUUCCAUUUGACAUUCACUACGAACUUCUUUCAAAACAAAAAUUACCUGUAAUAAACAAAUGGUCUCAGUUAAUAGAAAAUCAACUUCGAAGACGAAAGAACAUUUGUCAGGUGUUUUUUCAAAAUUAAGACUGCACAUUUUUACUCAAGUUUGCGAUAUUUAAAACGUACAAAAUGUGGUUUUAGGAAGAAAAAUAACUAGAUACGCCUAUAAAUUGUGAA